AUAAAUAAACAAAUCUCGAGCAAUGAUGCGGAAACAAUUACAACAGCUAUUAUAUACUUGAUCUUGAUUUCCUACGUGGAUAACUGUGGUAAUUCUAGAGCUAAUACAUGCACCAAAGCUCCGAUUUUAUUGACGAGCGCAUCUAUUAGAUUAAAACCAAUCGAGCUUUAAACGGCUCGUUAAUUGGUGACUCUGAAUAGCUUAGCUGAUCGCAUGGUCUAGUACCGGCGACAUAUCUAUCAAGUAUCUGCCUUAUCAACUUUCGAUGGUAGUUUAUGUGCCUACCAUGGUUGUAACGGGUAACGGAGAAUAAGGGUUCGACUCCGGAGAGGGAGCCUGAGAAACGGCUACCACUUCACCAGAAC
rnacentral:ncRNA from 1 species